rnacentral:piRNA from 2 species
UCUGAAUGUCCAAGACAGAGACUCAA